GGAUACCCGCUGAACUUAAGCAUAUC
rnacentral:ncRNA from 3 species